AAAUUGAAGAGUUUGAUCAUGGCUCAGAUUGAACGCUGGCGGCAGGCCUAACACAUGCAAGUCGAACGGUAACAGGAAGCAGCUUGCUGCUUUGCUGACGAGUGGCGGACGGGUGAGUAAUGUCUGGGAAACUGCCUGAUGGAGAGGGAUAACUACUGGAAACGGUAGCUAAUACCGCAUAACGUCGCAAGACCAAAGAGGGGGACCUUCGGGCCUCUUGCCAUCGGAUGUGCCCAGAUGGGAUUAGCUAGUAGGUGGGGUAAAGGCUCACCUAGGCGACGAUCCCUAGCUGGUCUGAGAGGAUGACCAGCCACACUGGAACUGAGACACGGUCCAGACUCCUACGGGAGGCAGCAGUGGGGAAUAUUGCACAAUGGGCGCAAGCCUGAUGCAGCCAUGCCGCGUGUAUGAAGAAGGCCUUCGGGUUGUAAAGUACUUUCAGCGGGGAGGAAGGGAGUAAAGUUAAUACCUUUGCUCAUUGACGUUACCCGCAGAAGAAGCACCGGCUAACUCCGUGCCAGCAGCCGCGGUAAUACGGAGGGUGCAAGCGUUAAUCGGAAUUACUGGGCGUAAAGCGCACGCAGGCGGUUUGUUAAGUCAGAUGUGAAAUCCCCGGGCUCAACCUGGGAACUGCAUCUGAUACUGGCAAGCUUGAGUCUCGUAGAGGGGGGUAGAAUUCCAGGUGUAGCGGUGAAAUGCGUAGAGAUCUGGAGGAAUACCGGUGGCGAAGGCGGCCCCCUGGACGAAGACUGACGCUCAGGUGCGAAAGCGUGGGGAGCAAACAGGAUUAGAUACCCUGGUAGUCCACGCCGUAAACGAUGUCGACUUGGAGGUUGUGCCCUUGAGGCGUGGCUUCCGGAGCUAACGCGUUAAGUCGACCGCCUGGGGAGUACGGCCGCAAGGUUAAAACUCAAAUGAAUUGACGGGGGCCCGCACAAGCGGUGGAGCAUGUGGUUUAAUUCGAUGCAACGCGAAGAACCUUACCUGGUCUUGACAUCCACGGAAGUUUUCAGAGAUGAGAAUGUGCCUUCGGGAACCGUGAGACAGGUGCUGCAUGGCUGUCGUCAGCUCGUGUUGUGAAAUGUUGGGUUAAGUCCCGCAACGAGCGCAACCCUUAUCCUUUGUUGCCAGCGGUCCGGCCGGGAACUCAAAGGAGACUGCCAGUGAUAAACUGGAGGAAGGUGGGGAUGACGUCAAGUCAUCAUGGCCCUUACGACCAGGGCUACACACGUGCUACAAUGGCGCAUACAAAGAGAAGCGACCUCGCGAGAGCAAGCGGACCUCAUAAAGUGCGUCGUAGUCCGGAUUGGAGUCUGCAACUCGACUCCAUGAAGUCGGAAUCGCUAGUAAUCGUGGAUCAGAAUGCCACGGUGAAUACGUUCCCGGGCCUUGUACACACCGCCCGUCACACCAUGGGAGUGGGUUGCAAAAGAAGUAGGUAGCUUAACCUUCGGGAGGGCGCUUACCACUUUGUGAUUCAUGACUGGGGUGAAGUCGUAACAAGGUAACCGUAGGGGAACCUGCGGUUGGAUCACCUCCUUACCUUAAAGAAGC
rnacentral:rRNA from 1 species